rnacentral:rRNA from 1 species
GAUCAUGGCUCAGAAUCAACGCUGGCGGCCGUGCCUAACACAUGCAAGUCGAACGCGAAAGUGGAGCAAUCCAUGAGUAGAGUGGCAAACGGGUGAGUAACACGUGGGUGACCUGCCUUAGAGUGGGGGAUAACGUCCCGAAAGGGACGCUAAUACCGCAUAACAUGCUGCCUUUUAAGAGGUGGACAUCAAAGCCGGGGACCGCAAGGCCUGGAGCUUAAAGAGGGGCCCGCGCCUGAUUAGCUAGUUGGUGGGGUAAUGGCUCACCAAGGCAACGAUCAGUAUCCGGCCUGAGAGGGCGGACGGACACACUGGGACUGAGACACGGCCCAGACUCCUACGGGAGGCAGCAGUGGGGAAUUGUUCGCAAUGGGCGCAAGCCUGACGACGCAACGCCGCGUGGAGGAUGAAGAUCUUCGGGUUGUAAACUCCUUUCGAUCGAGACGAAUGGCCCUUGGGCUAACAUCCUGAGGGAGUGACGGUACCGAGAGAAGAAGCCCCGGCUAACUCCGUG